CCUUUCCGUCGUCCUGUUGUGGAUGGUGGUGGGGUACCGCCCGUAUAUUGAGAACUACACAGUGGACGCGAGCAUCUUAGAUUCACCGGUUUUCCGGUGGAUCACAAAGAUCUAUUUAUAGAUCAUUGGUCAAUUCUGUCUCCCUUCGGGGAGGCGAAACGAUUCAAUCUCAUGUGAUUUCAAGAUUCUAAGGGCAAACGGUGGAUGCCUUGGCACCUGGAGCCGAAGAAGGACGUAUAAAUCUGCGAUAAGCCUCGGGGAGCUGAUAAUAGAGCUUUGAUCCGAGGAUCUCCGAAUGGGGAAACCCCGCCAGGCCCUUUGGGUGACCUGGUGACUCCCGCCUGAAUAUAUAGGGCGGGUAGAGGGAACGUGGGGAAGUGAAACAUCUCAGUA
rnacentral:misc_RNA from 1 species